GGCUGGGGUGGAACGUGCAGGGGAAAGUGUUCUGGAGGACGUCGUAAGGACCCACUCGAGGGCUGAGUAGAGGUGAUCCAGGCUGUGUGUGUGUGUGUGUGUGUGUGUGUGUGUGUGUACCUGGAGUGUGAGAGGAGGGCAUUCUAGACUAGGAGAGAAACAUGUGGUCCGUAGGCAUGAGUCUCAGUCAUAAACCCAAGCAUGCAUGGCACAAAGCUUGCUUCCUGUAGAAACAGCUUAGCUUCUAUUUUGGGGCUCUGUUCUGUGGGGAGUUGGUUUCCACCUGUCCAGGUCAUGGCCAAGUUCCAUGGGCUUGUUUAGUGUAAAGGUGUGGAUGAGGAGUCCGCACGGAAGCUGGGAGCCCAUUCUCCAUGCUAGGUGUCCCCAUGGUGACAGACUGGCCCUGGAGCACCACUUUUUCUGAAUCCUUCCUUCCUACUUACUUUCUGUCCCAAAGCAUCGUUCCAUAGGGCUGGGAGGCAGGGAGAGAGACCAUGUGAGGGAGGCAAUGCCAGGGGUCCAAGAGAUGCAGGUAAUAUGCAAAAUACAGGAGUUUCACAUCCGUAGAGGUGGCUCAUCCUGGCUGGGGUGCAUUGAGAUGCGGGCUAGUGGUGGAAACGAUAGUGAAGAAAGACAGGAGGCUGCAGAAGUCAAAAGCUUAAGGCACAGAAACUGAAUGUUGUGUGCAGGAGCCUGGACUUGACCCUGACUCCAAAGGUUGCAGUGAACACUAAGCAAUACAUUUCAAAGCACCCAAGGCCCACUGUUUUGCAGAGUGUGGUGGGGCUCUCUUUGUCCCUUUUUUUUACCCAUGAAGCAGGAGAGGGCUGCUCUUUUCAGUAGAGGGCGCAGUCACCACCCCCUGGGACUCAAAUUCAUGCUGUUGCUAGAGAAUCCAAGGGUAGCGGAUGUCAGCGGCUGCCGGGAUCACGCAGCUCUCAGAGCCUGUGUCUUAUCUACAGCACAGGGCACAAUUCCUUCUCACCUUGCAACAGGUUACCGGCAAAGGGAGAGCCGGCCUAGUGACAACCCAGAGGCGAACAGAACCGACAGAGGCAGGUACAUGAUAAUACCAUGUGAACACCUGGAUCCGGCCAUUCC
rnacentral:lncRNA from 1 species